rnacentral:rRNA from 2 species
GAUUUCUGACUUGAAACGAUUAGUCGGCCACGGUUUCGUGUGUUAGUAUUAGUCGUUCUGGUCAUCCUUCCAAUUGCUAUACAUCUUUCUUCAUUGAUGGGUGUGUGGUAUUGGAUCUUUUACUUUGAAAAAAUUAGAGUGUUUCAAGCAGGCUUAAUGCUAUGAAUACAUUAGCAUGGAAUAAUAAUUUAGGACUUCGGUUCUAUUUUGUUGGUUUCUAGGACUGAAGUAAUGAUUGAUAGGGAUAGUUGGGGGUGCUAGUAUUCAGCGGCCAGAGGUGAAAUUCUCGGAUUCGCUGAAGACUAACUUAUGCGAAAGCAUU